GACAGAGGCCACAAGCGUUAGGCGGAAUCACUGGGCUUAAAGCGUGUGUAGGCGGAGGCGUAAGUGUCUUGUGAAAUCCCCCGGCUCAACCGGGGAACCGCUGGGCAUACUGCGUCUCUUGGGCCAAUCAGGGGCAGCCGGAACAAACGGUGGAGCGGUGAAAUGCGUAGAUAUCGUUUGGAACGCCAACGGCGAAAGCAGGCUGCUGGGAUUGUGCCGACGCUGAGACACGGAAGCCAGGGGAGCAAACAGG
rnacentral:rRNA from 1 species